rnacentral:rRNA from 1 species
UACGAGUGCCCCAAGCGUUAUCCGGAUUUAUUGGGCGUAAAGCGUGUCCAGGUGGUUUGGUGUGUCACAUGUCAAAUCUCAAGGCUUAACUUUGAGACUGCGUGUGAAACUACGAAACUAGAGAACGGGAGAGGCAAGCGGAAUGGCCGGUGUAGCAGUAAAAUGCGUUAAUAUCGGCUGGAACACCAAAGGCGAAGGCAGCUUGCUAGAACGUUUCUGACACUCACACACGAAAGCGUGGGUAGCGAAUGGG